rnacentral:rRNA from 1 species
CAGCAGCCACGGUAAUACGGAGGGUGCAAGCGUUAAUCGGAAUUACUGGGCGUAAAGCGUGCGUAGGCGGUUCGUUAAGUCUGUUGUGAAAGCCCCGGGCUCAACCUGGGAAUGGCAAUGGAUACUGGCGAGCUAGAGUGUGUCAGAGGAUGGUGGAAUUCCCGGUGUAGCGGUGAAAUGCGUAGAGAUCGGGAGGAACAUCAGUGGCGAAGGCGGCCAUCUGGGACAACACUGACGCUGAGGCACGAAAGCGUGGGGAGCAAACAGGAUUAGAUACCCGAGUAGUCCCUGUCUCUUAUAC